ACGAACGCUGGCGGCGUGCUUAACACAUGCAAGUCGAACGGAAAGGCCUGCUUUCCCUUGUGGAUUGCGGGUACUCGAGUGGCGAACGGGUGAGUAACACGUGAGUGAUCUGCCCCCAACUUGGGUAUAAGCCUGGGAAACUGGGUCUAAUUCCCGAUAGGACUGCAGGGUGGUGCCUGUGGUGGAAAACGAUUUUCUAGUGGUUGGGGAUGAGCUCGCGGCCUAUCAGCUUGUUGGUGGGGUAAUGGCCUACCAAGGCGGCGACGGGUAGCCGGCCUGAGAGGGUGGACGGCCACAUUGGGACUGAGAUACGGCCCAGACUCCUACGGGAGGCAGCAGUGGGGAAUAUUGCACAAUGGGCGGAAGCCUGAGGCAGCGACGCCGCGUGGGGGAUGACGGCCUUCGGGUUGUAAACUCCUUUCGACCGCGAGGAAGCCACCUGGUUGGAAGGGUGGUGACGGUAGUGGUAGAAGAAGCACCGGCUAACUACGUG
rnacentral:rRNA from 1 species